GAUGAACGCUGGCGGCGUGCCUAAUACAUGCAAGUCGAGCGAAGCGAGGACGGGUGAUUAACACGGGGAUACCCUCCUAUAAGACUGGGGUAACUUCAGUGAACCUGAGCUAGACCGGAUCCUUAUUGAGGGUUUCUCGUUGGAUUAGCUAGUUGGUAAGGUAACGGCUUACCAAGGCAACGAUGCAUAGCCGACCUGAGAGGGUGAUCAGCAACACUGGAACUGAGACACGGUCCAGACUCCUACGGUAGGCAGCAGUAGGGAAUAUUGCGCAAUGGGCGAAAGCCUGACGGAGCCACGCCGCGUGAGUGAUGAAGGUCUUCGGAUCGUAAAACUCUGUUAUUAGGGAAGCGGUACCUAAUCAGUAAGCACCGGCUAACUACGUGCCAGCAGCCGCGGUAAUUC
rnacentral:rRNA from 1 species